CGGCCAAGGCCGGCAGCCUACCAUGCAGUCGAGCGGUAGAGAGAAGCUUGCUUCUCUUGAGAGCGGCGGACGGGUGAGUAAUGCCUAGGAAUCUGCCUGGUAGUGGGGGAUAACGUCCGGAAACGGACGCUAAUACCGCAUACGUCCUACGGGAGAAAGCAGGGGACCUUCGGGCCUUGCGCUAUCAGAUGAGCCUAGGUCGGAUUAGCUAGUUGGUGAGGUAAUGGCUCACCAAGGCGACGAUCCGUAACUGGUCUGAGAGGAUGAUCAGUCACACUGGAACUGAGACACGGUCCAGACUCCUACGGGAGGCAGCAGUGGGGAAUAUUGGACAAUGGGCGAAAGCCUGAUCCAGCCAUGCCGCGUGUGUGAAGAAGGUCUUCGGAUUGUAAAGCACUUUAAGUUGGGAGGAAGGGCAGUUGCCUAAUACGUAACUGUUUUGACGUUACCGACAGAAUAAGCACCGGCUAACUCUGUGCCAGCAGCCGCGGUAAUACAGAGGGUGCAAGCGUUAAUCGGAAUUACUGGGCGUAAAGCGCGCGUAGGUGGUUUGUUAAGUUGGAUGUGAAAUCCCCGGGCUCAACCUGGGAACUGCAUUCAAAACUGACUGACUAGAGUAUGGUAGAGGGUGGUGGAAUUUCCUGUGUAGCGGUGAAAUGCGUAGAUAUAGGAAGGAACACCAGUGGCGAAGGCGACCACCUGGACUAAUACUGACACUGAGGUGCGAAAGCGUGGGGAGCAAACAGGAUUAGAUACCCUGGUAGUCCACGCCGUAAACGAUGUCAACUAGCCGUUGGAAGCCUUGAGCUUUUAGUGGCGCAGCUAACGCAUUAAGUUGACCGCCUGGGGAGUACGGCCGCAAGGUUAAAACUCAAAUGAAUUGACGGGGGCCCGCACAAGCGGUGGAGCAUGUGGUUUAAUUCGAAGCAACGCGAAGAACCUUACCAGGCCUUGACAUCCAAUGAACUUUCCAGAGAUGGAUUGGUGCCUUCGGGAACAUUGAGACAGGUGCUGCAUGCCUGUCGUCAGCCUCGUGUCGUGAGAUGUUUGGGGUUAAA
rnacentral:rRNA from 1 species